CCCUUAGAUGUCCUGGGCCGCACGCGCGUUACACUGAUGCAUUCAACGAGCUUAUAACUUUGGCCGAGAGGCCUGGGCAAUCUUGUUAACGUGCAUCGUGAUAGGGAUAGAUUAUUGAAAUUAUUAAUCUUGAACGAGGAAUUCCUAGUAAACGCAGAUCAUCAAUCUGCAUUGAUUACGUCCCUGCCCUUUGUACACACCGCCCGUCGCACCUACCGAUUGGAUGGUCCGGUGAAGCCUCGGGAUUGUGGUUCUUGCCGCUUUAUUGUGGCGUGACCGCGAGAACUUGUCUAAACCUUAUCAUCUAGAGGAAGGUGAAGUCGUAACA
rnacentral:rRNA from 1 species